rnacentral:rRNA from 1 species
AGAGUUUGAUCCUGGCUCAGGAUGAACGCUAGCGGCAGGCCUAAUACAUGCAAGUCGAGGGGCAGCGGGAGUAGCAAUACUUGCCGGCGACCGGCGCACGGGUGCGUAACGCGUAUGCAAUCUACCUUCAACUGGAGAAUAGCCCCUCGAAAGAGGGAUUAAUACUCCAUAAUAUUCGAUUCCGGCAUCGGAAUCCAAUUAAAGCUCCGGCGGUUGAAGAUGAGCAUGCGUGACAUUAGCUAGUUGGUGAGGUAAUGGCUCACCAAGGCUACGAUGUCUAGGGGUUCUGAGAGGAUGAUCCCCCACACUGGUACUGAGACACGGACCAGACUCCUACGGGAGGCAGCAGUAAGGAAUAUUGGUCAAUGGACGCAAGUCUGAACCAGCCAUGCCGCGUGCAGGAUGAAGGCGCUAUGCGUUGUAAACUGCUUUUGUACGGGAAAAAACCCCUCCACGUGUGGAGGGUUGAUGGUACCGUAAGAAUAAGGAUCGGCUAACUCCGUGCCAGCAGCCGCGGUAAUACGGAGGAUCCAAGCGUUAUCCGGAUUCAUUGGGUUUAAAGGGUGCGUAGGCGGAAUGGUAAGUCAGUGGUGAAAGCCUGCAGCUCAACUGUAGAAUUGCCAUUGAUACUGCCAAUCUUGAGUAUAAUUGAAGUGGGCGGAAUGUGUCGUGUAGCGGUGAAAUGCUUAGAUAUGACACAGAACACCGAUUGCGAAGGCAGCUCACAAAACUAUAACUGACGCUGAGGCACGAAAGCGUGGGGAUCAAACAGGAUUAGAUACCCUGGUAGUCCACGCCGUAAACGAUGAUUACUCGAUGUGUGCGAUAUACAGUACGCGUCUAAGCGAAAGCAUUAAGUAAUCCACCUGGGGAGUACGAUCGCAAGAUUGAAACUCAAAGGAAUUGACGGGGGCCCGCACAAGCGAAGGAGCAUGUGGUUUAAUUCGAUGAUACGCGAGGAACCUUACCUGGGCUUGAAUGCUUUUUGACAACACCGGAAACGGUGUCUCUCUUCGAAGCAAAUUGCAAGGUGCUGCAUGGCUGUCGUCAGCUCGUGCCGUGAGGUGUUGGGUUAAGUCCCGCAACGAGCGCAACCCCUAUCAUUAGUUGCCAACAGGUAAAGCUGGGGACUCUAGUGAAACUGCCCGUGCAAACGGUGAGGAAGGUGGGGAUGACGUCAGGUCAGCACGGCCCUUACGUCCAGGGCUACACACGUGCUACAAUGGCAAUACAAAGGGUUGCUACCUGGUGACAGGAUGCUAAUCUCUAAAAUUGGUCUCAGUUCGGAUUGAAGUCUGCAACUCGACUUCAUGAAGCUGGAUUCGCUAGUAAUCGCAUAUCAGCAACGAUGCGGUGAAUACGUUCCCGGGCCUUGUACACACCGCCCGUCAAACAAUGGAAGUUGGGAGUGCCUGAAGUCGAUGACCGAAAGGAGUCGCCUAGGGUAAAACCGAUAACUGGUGUUAAGUCGGAACAAGGUA